CAGCCUUGCCAGAAGAGUUGAGGUUGUUAUAGCUGCAAAGCGUGGACCAACAAAAUACUGAACCCAAUGGAUUAGGAAGUUCAUAUGCAAGUCAAGGCAGUGUUUUCCAGAUUGUGCUGAACAUCCCAGGUGUGCUGGGUGACAGGUGCGACUUAUCCUGCUGAUUGCUGGUGGAGUAUUUAAGCGGGAGGCUGCCAGUAUUUCGACGCCAGAGGGUUUGCCUUCUGUGGUAACAAGCUCAGCCAAUGCAAAGUCUAUGCUUCGUCUCUCGUUUUGUGGAUUAACUUUGUUCAUGUGUUUUAGCAGACCACAACCAGGACUUUUGGAUUUAUGUCUCUGAGCCAUGGACUCUGGGAGCUAAGUGUUUUCUGGUUUAACUUUGUUUUGUGGAUUUCGUUCUCUACUUCAUUGUCGUCUGGAUCUUCGACCAAGCUGGCAGUUUCCUGUAACUCUCAUCUCCUGGACCAAGAACUAAGCGCUACCUGUCCACCCUCCACCGCUAGUAUCAGCACAAGGAAACAGCCUCACCUUUCUCCAAGCACAAUUAAGUCACUGCCUAAUGAUCAAUUAAGUAGACUGGACUUCAACAACCCAAAUUCCCCUAUCCCUGGUGACCUCACUACAUCCAUUCAUUGGAGUUUUCGCCUGUUUACGUUCCCUGUUCAUUUUGUUUUCC